AAAUUGAAGAGUUUGAUCAUGGCUCAGAUUGAACGCUGGCGGCAGGCCUAACACAUGCAAGUCGAACGGUAACAGGAAGCAGCUUGCUGCUUUGCUGACGAGUGGCGGACGGGUGAGUAAUGUCUGGGAAACUGCCUGAUGGAGGGGGAUAACUACUGGAAACGGUGGCUAAUACCGCAUAACGUCGCAAGACCAAAGAGGGGGACCUUCGGGCCUCUUGCCAUCAGAUGUGCCCAGAUGGGAUUAGCUUGUUGGUGAGGUAACGGCUCACCAAGGCGACGAUCCCUAGCUGGUCUGAGAGGAUGACCAGCCACACUGGAACUGAGACACGGUCCAGACUCCUACGGGAGGCAGCAGUGGGGAAUAUU
rnacentral:rRNA from 1 species